rnacentral:rRNA from 1 species
AGAACGAACGCUGGCGGCGCGCCUAACACAUGCAAGUCGAACGGGAAUCCGGGGCAACCCGGUAGUAAAGUGGCAAACGGGUGAGGAAUACAUGGGUAACCUACCCUUGAGAAGGGAAUAACCCGCCGAAAGGUGAGUUAAUACCCUAUACGCUAUCUUUUUUUCGAAAAGGAUAGGAAAGCCGGGUCGAGGACCUGGUACUCAAGGAGGGGCUCAUGUCCUAUCAGCUUGUUGGUGGGGUAACGGCCUACCAAGGCUACGACGGGUAGCUGGUCUGAGAGGAUGAUCAGCCACACUGGCACUGAGAUACGGGCCAGACUCCUACGGGAGGCAGCAGUGAGGAAUAUUGCGCAAUGGGCGAAAGCCUGACGCAGCGACGCCGCGUGGGGAUGAAGGUUUUCGGAUUGUAAACCCCUUUCAUGAGGAAAGAUAAAGUGGGUAACCACUUAGACGGUACCUCAAGAAGAAGCCACGGCUAACUUCGUG